rnacentral:rRNA from 1 species
AUUGAACGCUGGCGGCAUGCCUUACACAUGCAAGUCGAACGGAUUUGGGGGCUUGCUCCCAAGUUAGUGGCGAACGGGUGAGUAAAGCAUCGGAACGUACCCAGUCGUGGGGGAUAACGUAGCGAAAGUUACGCUAAUACCGCAUACGUCCUGAGGGAGAAAGCGGGGGAUCGCAAGACCUCGCGCGAUUGGAGCGGCCGAUGUCGGAUUAGGUAGUUGGUGGGGUAAAGGCCCACCAAGCCAACGAUCUGUAGCUGGUCUGAGAGGACGACCAGCCACACUGGGACUGGGACACGGCGCAGACUCCUACGGGAGGCAGCAGUGGGGAAUUUUGGACAAUGGGCGCAAGCCUGAUCCAGCAAUGCCGCGUGCAGGAAGAAGGCCUUCGGGUUGUAAACUGCUUUUGUACGGAACGAAACGGCUCUGGUUAAUACCUGGGGCUAAUGACGGUACCGUAAGAAUAAGCACCGGCUAACUACGUGCCAGCCGCCGCAGUAAAAC